rnacentral:rRNA from 1 species
UACAUGGGGUGCAAACGUUGCUCGGAAUUAUUGGGCGUAAAGCGCACGUAGGCGGUUCGUUAAGUCGGAUGUGAAAGCCCUCGGCUCAACUGAGGAAGUGCACCCGAAACUGGCGAGCUUGAGUACGAAAGAGGAUCGCGGAAUUCCCGGUGUAGAGGUGAAAUUCGUAGAUAUCGGGAGGAACACCGGUGGCGAAGGCGGCCUACUGGGCCAGCACUGACGCUGAGGCGCGAAAGCUCGGGGAGCGAACGGG